GCCAUGUGUAAUUUUUCUGAUCAUUAGAUAAUUGCUGCAACGAUUUAGAAGGCGGAAAAAGGAUUUCAAACGUAGACGCCAUGAUGAUUGAUAUUUUAGAGAUUAGAGGAAUGAACGAAAUUUUAUAAUUGCAAUGUAACAGUGGAGGAAGCAAUGUGAAGAAGAAGAAGAAGAAGAAGAAGAAGAAAAGAUGGAAAGGAAUAAGAAAGGAGAUUAUUGUUCCUUAUUGUCCUAUCGAUGCAAUUCUAAAGGAUAUAUAAAAUAAGUGAAUGAGUAAAUGUAAAGUUGUAAGAAGUAAUGUAGAAAAUUAAAAGCUAUUGAAAUCCAAAAGAUUAUGCAAUUUUGUGAACCAGGAAAUAUAAGCAAAUUUAAAUAAGUGUAAUGAAUGAAAUUUUAUGAUUGUAAUGUAAAGAAAAAAAAGAAGAGAGUAAUAAGAAAGAAGACUAUAAUCCUAUUGGUGCAAUUCUGAAGGAUAUGUAAAAUAAGUGCAUGAGUAAAUAUGAGAAAUGUAAUAUAAAGUUAUUAUAUAAGAAGCAAUAAAAGAAGUAAAAAAAUUGAAGGCCAUUAAAUUCAAAAGAUUAUGCAAUUCUGUGAGCCAGGAAAUAUAAGCAAAUAAGUAUAUUUAAUUAUAAGUAAAUUACAAGUAAAAAGAAUUUUGUAUUACACAAAUUUUGACAAAUAUCCUCAAUCUUCUCCUUUCCAGAUGUAACGAAUGAAAUUUUAUAAUUGUAAUGUAACAAUAAACAAGAAAAAAAAGAAGAGAUAAUAAUAAGAGACAAUAAGAAAGAAGACUAUAAUCCUAUUGGUGCAAUUCUGAAGGAUAUGUAAAAUAAGUGCAUGAGUAAAUAUGAGAAAUGUAAUAUAAAGUUAUUAUAUAAGAAGCAAUAAAAGAAGUAAAAAAAUUGAAGGCCAUUAAAUUCAAAAGAUUAUGCAAUUCUGUGAGCCAGGAAAUAUAAGCAAAUAAGUAUAUUUAAUUAUAAGUAAAUUACAAGUAAAAAGAAUUUUGUAUUACACAAAUUUUGACAAACAUCCUCGAUUUAGUCCAUGUUUAAUAUUGCAAAGAUAUCUCGUAACAAUAAAAAAAAAUAAAAAGUAUCUUUAAAUAAAGUAUUCUUGGUUUAACACAAUAUUUUAAAUUUUUAAGGAGAGAAAAGAAUAUAACCUUGAACCAUAUCUUUCAAUAUUGUAAUAUGUUCUUCAUUUUAAAUACUGAAGAAAC